AACGAACGCUGGCGGCAUGCCUAACACAUGCAAGUCGAACGAUGCCUCCGGGCAUAGUGGCGCACGGGUGCGUAACGCGUGGGAAUCUGCCCUUGGGUUCGGAAUAACUCGCCGAAAGGCGAGCUAAUACCGGAUGAUGACGUAAGUCCAAAGAUUUAUCGCCCAAGGAUGAGCCCGCGUAGGAUUAGCUAGUUGGUGGGGUAAAGGCCCACCAAGGCGACGAUCCUUAGCUGGUCUGAGAGGAUGAUCAGCCACACUGGGACUGAGACACGGCCCAGACUCCUACGGGAGGCAGCAGUGGGGAAUAAUGGACAAUGGGCGAAAGCCUGAUCCAGCAAUGCCGCGUGAGUGAUGAAGGCCUUAGGGUUGUAAAGCUCUUUUACCCGGGAUGAUAAUGACAGUACCGGGAGAAUAAGCUCCGGCUAACUCCGUG
rnacentral:rRNA from 1 species